GUGCCGAGGGCCAUCCGGCAUCCUAGAUGGGGAGCCGUGGGACCUCCCUCGUGCCUGUGGUGGUGGGAUCCCGUGGCCGUGUUUUCCUGGUGGCCCGGCCAUGCCUGAGGUUU
rnacentral:pre_miRNA from 10 species